ACGAACGCUGGCGGCAUGCCUAAUCCCUGCAAGUCGAACGCGAUCUUCGGAUCUAGUGGCGCACGGGUGCGUAACGCGUGGGAAUCUGCCCUUGGGUUCGGAAUAACUUCUGGAAACGGAAGCUAAUACCGGAUGAUGACGUAAGUCCAAAGAUUUAUCGCCCAAGGAUGAGCCCGCGUAGGAUUAGGUAGUUGGUGAGGUAAAGGCUCACCAAGCCGACGAUCCUUAGCUGGUCUGAGAGGAUGAUCAGCCACACUGGGACUGAGACACGGCCCAGACUCCUACGGGAGGCAGCAGUAGGGAAUAUUGGACAAUGGGCGAAAGCCUGAUCCAGCAAUGCCGCGUGAGUGAUGAAGGCCUUAGGGUUGUAAAGCUCUUUUACCCGGGAUGAUAAUGACAGUACCGGGAGAAUAAGCUCCGGCUAAUUCCGUG
rnacentral:rRNA from 1 species